GUCCACGCCGUAAACGAUGGGCACUAGAUGCCGGGCCUAUAGACGGGUUCGGUGUCGCAGCUAACGCAUUAAGUGCCCCGCCUGGGGAGUACGGCCGCAAGGCUGAAACUCAAAGGAAUUGACGGGGGCCCGCACAAGCGGUGGAGCAUGUGGUUUAAUUCGAAGCAACGCGAAGAACCUUACCUGGGCUUGACAUACAUGUGAAAGCCCCUGGAAACAGGGGCCCUCCUUCGGGACGCAUGUACAGGUGCUGCAUGGCUGUCGU
rnacentral:rRNA from 1 species